rnacentral:lncRNA from 1 species
GACUCCUGUUAGUUUCUGCUACCACUUAAGUGUUAAUAGCUAAUAAUAGAGCAAGCUUGAUUACUACCUUGGUGUCCUAAAACGGAUGUUGGCCUGCCAGGGAGCAGCCAAGGUGAAGUUUUCAACCAGGCCGACCAACUUCAGAGUCCACUGGCUUCAAAACAGUGCUUUACAUCCUCCUUCCAACAUUAUUCACAAGCCGAUCAAGACUGAGAGAGUCACAAGUGUGUGAAACCUGUAUUCUUUCUGACUUCAUUUUCCCUGGUCCCAGAAGGCUGCAUAUGGAACUGACCUGGACUUAAUCUACAAGAUAGAUACCCCCAGCUAACCUGCAAACUCACAGAGUGAUGAGUGAGAAAAUAAUGCUUCUUCUUCUGUGCCUAUGUGAUUUAGUGAUUCUGCUAUGCAACAAAAGUUAAUGUAAUUUUUUAAAGCAGAAGCUAUUGUAAAGAAACUGAGACCAAGAAUGGUUAAGUAAAGCAUCCUAAUUCACAUGAUUAUAGAACAAAAGAACUGGGACUCAAACUAAGGCCCUCUGAUUUCAAUACACAUGUUUUUAACUGUUAUGCCAUGCUGUCUCCAAGUAAGCAUAUUAUUAAUAUUAUUAUCAGGUACAAGAACAUAUUAUGUAGAAAAUGCCAGGGUUGUUCAGUGCUUCUUUUCAACAUUUCUGUUAUUAAUAGUUUAAUUUUCUCACUGUGCUCUUUAAGCUCCCUAUCUAUAAACCUGUUUUAUAUGUGUGUGUCUGUACAUGUACAUGCAAGUAACAACGAAUAAAAUUUUGAAAUUUUAUAAAGAACAUAA